rnacentral:tRNA from 1 species
GGUACAGUGUUAAAGGAGAAAAAUUACUGACUUUGAAUACAGUAGACCUAGGUUUGAAUCCUGGCUUUAUCA